GAGUGAGAAGAAGGAAGAGGAGGAGGAGGAGAUGAAUAUUUUUGUCCUGUGUGGGUGGCAGAGGCGACCAUUGGAAACAGCGAUGCGAAACCGGAGGGGGUGAAGAACAAGAUGGUUCUCCUCUUUUUCUCCCUUUUCUCCUCCUCCUCCUCUUCCUCCCUCUUUUACUC
rnacentral:miRNA from 1 species